GAAAAAGGAGAGGCGGAACUCAAAAGGGAUGCUCCCGCACCCCCUUCCUCCUUCCAAAGACGUUUCAGUCGCAAUUGGCCCAAUUCUUCGGUCUCCGACCCGCUGCAAGGACUCGAAAGUCUGGGGAAUGGACUAGACCACCAAUGUCCCAGGGGACAGGGAAGAUACGAGAAGUAACCCUCUUGCGUUAGCGGUGUAGGCCACAUGUUCUUAAUUUUGAACUCGGAAAACAAGGCUCUCAAAUUAUUCACGGUAUUGUUCACCAUUAAAUUUUUGGUUAAGAAGAGGGAUUUUAAAAAUGUAGACUGCUUUCCACUUGCCUCCCCCAUCUAGCAAAUGGAAGUUACCGGCUAAGCAGGACGCAUGCGUCUGGGCGUCUUCUCGCGCUGGGACGUCCGGACCCGCCUCUUCCAAGCCCCACCUCUUCCAAGUCUUGUUUGCUGAACCAGGUGAAGAUUAACAAAACAACAAAAAAAGAAGGAG